CGGGCGGGAAGCGUUAGUGCGACCUCGGGCUGGAAGGGUCGCUCUCGUCCGUGCUCGGGCUCCACGGAGCAAGAGAGGCUUGGAAGCGCCCAGCCUCCUCCGUUACUCCCUCAGCACCAGCAUCUGAAUCUCAGUGGACUUCUGAGCAUCUUUCAGUGGGUCAGCGCUGAAAACGUAAUGGAGAAUAGACCGUGUGGUUGUCUGAUACAAAGGCCUCAGCAACAGACCCAUAAAAGAGACUCUUGAUGGAACCACAGUCCCGGGCUGAGCUCCAAAGCAUUGCUUAUAAUCAAAAACUUAUCUGGAGAAAGAAACUCCAAUUAAAAACUGAUUUUCUCCAUCAAACCAUUAGCAGCAGAAUACAUCCCAUCAUCGUUUAAAGAAACACAAGAAAUGAAGAUGGCUUCUUAGCUUAGGACAGCAGGACCUUCCAAUUUUUCAAAUUCAUCUCAAACAUCCCUGGGAGCAGCAUACAUUGCUUGUGGUCAGCAGCACAGAUACCACCUCCUUGGAGACGGCAUGGGUCAGUGAGCCUUUCCUGCUUUGGUGCCCUUCCUCAGCAUGGCUAACAUAGAUGAGGAACGCUUCAAAAAAUGAGAGGAUAACAGCAAACAGCCUGACGGAAAAUAAGCAGAAAAGACGCGAGGAGGGAUAGCUCUGAGACAAGAAAGGAGAAUGGAGAAGGC
rnacentral:lncRNA from 1 species